rnacentral:lncRNA from 1 species
GGAAGCUGUAGCCAUGCCUACUUAGGGGCUGGCUGCAGGUGUGCCUUGACCACGCUUGCGAGGGCGUGGUCAGGGUGACGUAGAGUGAUACUUUCAGGGGACUGCGUUUCUCUUUCGGUUUCACUUUUGUACUUGCUGGACAGACUGCUGCCACGCCGGCUGGCUAGGUUGCUCUGUAAGUAAGGCUUUUCCCUAUUAAAUGCCCUUGUAUUUCUACCUGACUCCGUAUUGGUAAUUUCCCACUUUAUCUGGUUGUCAGGAGCAGGAUAUUGGAAACCUACACCCCAUUUGGAACAGGCUGUGGGGUGCACCAGGCCUACAGACUAGGCGGGGAAAGGUCCCUCUCUUCACAGGUGCUCCCAUCUCCCAGCCAACCCGCUGCCGCUGAGCUGCUCCCAGCUUGGAGACUCACACAGACCUCCUAUGGUUUUACCACCGUGCGAUCGGGACCAGCUUGGACUGCAGCCUACCCACGCCUGGAGGCUUCCAACCCUUGAACCGACUGCCACCCACCACUGCCAAAUGCCGCAGACUAACUGAACACCUGUGCCACCCACUGGUCAAAGAUAGUUACUGCAUCUGGAGUAGAAAUCAGGCUUAAAGAUCAUUGGGAUGCCUCAGAAGCAGAAUCACUCCAAUGCCAGGCACCUACUCCACCCAGGUAUCGUGACUAUUCUUCUAAUGUUGUUACUCGUACACCAUUAGUCUACCCAGCUACCAUGGUAGAAAAGCCAGCUUCUAAGAAACACCCUCAUGGAUGGAUGGCUUAUGAAUGGCAACCUAUACAACUGAAGGAUCUUAAGAAUAUUAAAGAAUCAGUUGUCUCAUAUAGUCUCCAUAACCCAUACAUAAAACAGCUAUUAUAUUCAUGGGCAAUUUUUAACAGGGUGACACCCACAGAUUGGGAACAUUUGGUAGCAGCUGUACUUGAGAAUUCAUGCUAAAUCCAGUGGAGGGCAUUGUUCAGGGAAGAGGCAAAGCUCCUUGAGCAUCAGGGCUUGAAGGAAGGUUUUGAAGCCCCUCUGGAUAAGCUUCUUGGUGAGGGUAUUUAUGCUAACCCAGAGGCUCAGGCUGAAUAUGAUGAUGAGAUACUGUCUCUAUGCAGGAAAGCAGCAUUAAAUGCCUCAGAUAAGGUUCGUGAGGCAGGAGAACACCUAGAAGCUUAUACCAGAAUAGAACAGGGACCUACAGAACAGUUUCAGGACUUCUUACAAAGGUUAACUAGGGCAGUAGAAUUACAGGUAAAAGAUCCAGAAACAAGACAAUCAAUUAUAUAUACAAUAGCUUAUGAAAAUGCAAACCCAAUAUGCAAAAGAAUACUUUUGCCUUUAAAGAUCAGAUCAGCUCCGCUAGAAGAAUGGGUUUUGCAUGCAGCCAACAUUGGUUAUAAUGUGCAAGAUAUUGGAGCUUGGGUAGGAGAAGCGAUUUCAAAAGGUUUUAAAAGGCAACAGGAAAUUAAAAGUUCUAGAUGUGAGAAUGCAAGGGCUUGAGAAGGAGAAGCACUUUACAGAGGUCAACAUAGGUACCAAGAGGCUAGAGGUUACUACUACUAUGGCACCAGGAAUCUAGAUGUUUCAACUGUGGUAAAAUGGGACAUACUAAGAGAAAUUGUAGACAAACGAAUUCUAACAAUGCCUCAUACGGAAGGCCACUGCCUUCUGGAUUGUGUAGAAGAUGUGGUAAGGGCAGACACUGGACCAAUGAAUGUAGAUCGACCAGGGACGUACAAGGGAACCCAUUAAGGUCAGGAAUCCCCGAGGGGGGGCUCAAGAAGGCCCCCCACUUCAAGAAAGGUUGGAUCAUUCCCAGUAGCAGUGGGAGACAAUCUCUCACAGGACCAAUAGAUAGUUCUUUGCUUAUUGUGAAAAAUGAUACUGCUCUAGAUGGUAGUUUGAAUAGUGAUGAAGAAUCAAAUGUAAAUGGACAAAAUGAGAAACACAUGUUUUGGCAAGCUUCUAUUAAUGAUAAAAGGCCUCAGUUGAAAGUGAAAAUUAAUAAUAAUUUUAUUUCUGGCUUAGUAAACACUGGGGCAGAUGUAACUAUUAUUACCUAAAAAUCUUGGCCUCAGAAAUGGCCUCUUAGAGAGGCAAAUUACAAUUUUUAGGAAUUGGUACUCUAUCUAGAGUUCAACAGAGUGUUAACUCGGAGAUCUGCAUUAGACCGGAAGGACAGAAAGGGAGACUGAAACCAUAUGUGGCAGAUAUAGCUAUAAAUCUCUGGGGUCAUAAUCUCUUACAGCAAUGGAAUACUCAGAUUAAUAUUCCUCCAAUGUCAGAUAUAAAUUAUGCACAAUCUUUAGAUAGUAGGAAAGAUCUGGUAAGAUACUAUGGAAAACGGUUACCAACCAUCCAUGCUGUACAGAAACUAGGUACAAAUGAUGGACCUUCAGAGGAACCAAAGGCCCUGCCACUGAAGUGGCUUACAGAUGAACCAGUUUGGGUAGGACAAUGGCCUAUGACCUCUGAGAAGCUAGAGGCUUUAGAAAGGUUAGUACAG